UAGAAAACGUUAUCGCUUCUUGUUCUACCUUCUAAUUCAUGCCCAAGUUUCUAUAACUAAGAUAUGUUAGUAAAUUUGUAAAGCAACUUCAUAUUGCUAUAUAUCCAUCCAUAUUUUGUUUGUCUUCAAAUUUUAAACAUUUUGAAACAUGGUACUUUCAAGGUUGUGGUCAUAGCUAUUAAAGGCAAGCCUCGAGCUAUAGGCCACCCAAGCGCCCAACCCAUAUGAGGUGGGUGAUGUUCUAUCAAGUGUGUGCAUAGGCACACCAUGCUAAUAUUUUUUUCUGCAUAAUUUUUUUCUUUUUUGGUUAAAUGUUAUUUCAUCAAGAGUCCAUUGUUGAUUUACAAUGAAUAUGUGCUUACCAUGUUGUCAUACUCACUAAAUCAAAUUAGAACAACAAAAAGAAAGAAGCCAUCAGUAUAUAAGAAAUCAAAGUAAUUAUAUAGAAAAGGAAAUAAAAUAAAACCAGUUUUACUUCAACAUUACCAGGUUCUCUCUCUCUCUUAAUCCUCCAUUUUUCUUCAAUUAAUUUUUCUUUCCUUUUGUUCCAAACCCCUUGAUCCCACUUUUUUCCUCCUUUUGUCAUCUUUUCUCCUACACUCUCAAUCCCAGAAAACAUACAAUAUUUUCUUCAUUCUGCAGAGAAUCUCUGCUGCUACCUCUCUGUUGAUUUUCUCUCUUCGUUUCUCAUCUUUUUUAAUUCUCUCUCCUUUUCUGGAUGCCUCUUGGACUUCCAAUUCAGCAAUUAUUUUUACCCCUUUCCCUUUUUUUCCUUUUCCAGAUGCAUACUGAAUGAAGCCUAUCUGAAACAAUUUAACCCCUUCGAUCCAGUUUCCUAUCUCUCAAUUAGUAAAUUACAGAAUUUUAAGGGUUUGCUUCAAUGAGCUGCUAAUCAGCAUGCUAUCUCAGUGCUAACUCAGCAUAGAAACACAACUCAUGACAUGACUCACACCAUUGGAGAUAAUUUAUAAUACACCAAUAAAAAGUGUGAAAUAAAAUUUAAAAUUCUUGCAAAGUUCAGAACUUAUCAAAUUAUCAUCCCUGAUUCAAUUAAUAUACAAUGCAUCAUAAUUAAAUACAUUGUAGAGUUUUUCCACCCCAUAUUCUUCUGUAAGUUUGCAUUAUCCACAUCAUAUUCAAAAUCUGCGUUGGUCUUUCAUGAGAAUUUAAGUAAAGAUUUGUCACAUUAGAAACAAAAAGGCAUGUAUUUUUGAGCAACUAUGAAAAUAGCGUGAGGAUAUUGGUGAAAAUUGACAAAAAUGGAACAGAAACUUA
rnacentral:misc_RNA from 1 species